GACAGAGGCCUCGAGCGUUAGGCGGAAUCACUGGGCUUAAAGCGUGUGUAGGCGGAAGCGUAAGUACCUUGUGAAAUCCCACGGCUCAACCGUGGAACUGCUGGGUAUACUGCGUUUCUUGAGCCAUUUAGGGGCGAGUGGAACGGAUGGUGGAGCGGUGAAAUGCAUAGAUAUCAAGAGGAAUACCUGAGGUGAAGACGGGUUGCUAGGCUGACACUGACGCUGAGUGCGCGAAAGCCAGGGGAGCAAACGGG
rnacentral:rRNA from 1 species